rnacentral:rRNA from 1 species
AACGUACGCUGGCGGCACGCCUAACACAUGCAAGUCGAACGAAGUAGCAAUACUUAGUGGCAGACGGGUGAGUAACAUGUAGGUAUCUGCCCUUUGGCCUGGAAUAACACGAGGAAACUUGUGCUAAUACCGGAUAAGUCUUUACGGAGAAAGCUUUAUGCACCAUUGGAUGAGCCUGCACUUGAUUAGUUUGUUGGUGGGGUAAUGGCCUACCAAGACUGUGAUCAAUAGCUGAUUUGAGAGGAUGAUCAGCCACAUUGGGACUGAGACACGGCCCAAACUCCUACGGGAGGCAGCAGUGGGGAAUCUUGCACAAUGGAGGAAACUCUGAUGCAGCGAUGCCGCGUGAGUGAAGAAGGCCCUUGGGUUGUAAAGCUCUUUCGUCGGGGAAGAAAAUGACUGUACCCGAAUAAGAAGGUCCGGCUAACUUCGUGCCAGCAGCCGCGGUAAUACGAAGGGACCUAGCGUAGUUCGGAAUUACUGGGCUUAAAGAGUUCGUAGGUGGUUAAAAAAGUUGGUGGUGAAAUCCCAGAGCUUAACUCUGGAACUGCCAUCAAAACUUUUUAGCUAGAGUGUGAUAGAGGAAAGCAGAAUUUCUAGUGUAGAGGUGAAAUUCGUAGAUAUUAGAAAGAAUACCAAUUGCGAAGCAGCUUUCUGGAUCAUUACUGACACUGAGAACGAAAGCAUGGGUAGCGAAGAGGAUUAGAUACCCUCGUAGUCCAUGCCGUAAACGAUGUGUGUUAGACGUUGGAAAUUUAUUUUCAGUGUCGCAGCGAAAGCGAUAAACACACCGCCUGGGGAGUACGACCGCAAGGUUAAAACUCAAAUGAAUUGACGGGGACCCGCACAAGUAGUGGAGCAUGUGGUUUAAUUCGAAGAUACGCGCAGAACCUUACCAACACUUGACAUGUUCGUCGCGACUUUAAGAGAUUAAAGUUUUCGGUUCGGCCGGACGAAACACAGGUGCUGCAUGGCUGUCGUCAGCUCGUGUCGUGAGAUGUUGGGUUAAGUCCCGCAACGAGCGCAACCCUCACUUUUAGUUGCCAUCAUUUAGUUGGGCACUCUGAAAGAACUGCCAGUGAUAAGCUGGAGGAAGGUGGGGAUGACGUCAAGUCCUCAUGGCCCUUACGUGUUGGGCUACACACGUGCUACAAUGGUAUCUACAACAGGAAGCAAGACUGCGAAGUUAAGCAAAUCCUUAAAAGAUACCUCAGUUCGGAUUGCACUCUGCAACUCGAGUGCAUGAAGCUGGAAUUACUAGUAAUCGUGGAUCAGCGUGCCACGGUGAAUGCGUUCCCGGGUCUUGUACACACCGCCCGUCACACCAUGGGAGUUGGUUCUACCUUAAGGCAAGGUUUCAAACCCUUGACCACGGUAUAGUCAGCGACUGGGGUG